AACCCAGCAGAACCGGUUCCCAUCCACCAACACCUGGAGUGAUCAGGAGAGCAGAACCCAGCAGAACCCAGCAGAACCAGUUCCAAAUCCAGAGCACCAACGAAGAACCCAGCAGAACCAGUUCCAAAUCCAGAGCACCAACGAAGAACCCAGCAGAACCAGUUCCAAAUCCAGAGCACCAACGAAGAACCCAGCAGAACCAGUUCCAAAUCCAGAACACCAACGAAGAACCCAGCAGAACCGGUUCCCAUCCACCAACACCUGGAGUGAUCAGGAGAGCAGAACCCAGCAGAACCGGUUCCCAUCCACCAACACCUGGAGUGAUCAGGAGAGCAGAACCCAGCAGAACCGGUUCCCAUCCACCAACACCUGGAGUGAUCAGGAGAGCAGAACCCAGCAGAACCAGUUCCAAACCCAGAACACCAACGAAGAACCCAGCAGAACCAGUUCCCAUCCACCAACACCCAGAGCAAUCGGGAGAGCAGAACCCAGCAGAACCGAUUCCAAAUCCAAACUCCAACCCCCUGCCCCAGUGUCUCAGCGCUCAGACAGCUUUGCAGCUUUGCAGCAAAGAGGCAGUGUUGCAUUUUUUUGCAGUUCUGGGCCCCAGUGAACGCACAGAGCCCAAAUUCAGGGCAAAGAGGGAUGAGAGAGCAGGUUGGAUCAGAUCAGGGCUUGUGCAAACCCGUCCUUGGGUGGUUUUGUGCUUUCAGACAGAGGGGAGAGAACAUUUCUGGGCUUAACAGCAGCAGAUUUUCCUUCAUGUUUUGCAAAGAGAGGGGGGGAAAAAGAAGCAGGAAAAAAGAGAGCAUCCAUUUGCAGACUGAAGGGAGCAGAGCUGAGGUUGUGUCGGGUUGGAGAAAAACCAAACGCACGCAUGACCCCGAGUGACCUCACCCUUCAAGGACGCGGAACUCCUCCCCCAAAAAUUCACUCCUCCUGAAAACAACACCGAAAAUUAUAAUAAUAACCCUAAAAACCUGACGCCAUUCAGUCUCCUUUUGCAGCCGAGCGAUCGCUGUGGGGUGGAGCUCGGGUGCCUGAGUCCAUCUGCAGCAAUGCUGGAGGUGCAUUUCCCUCCCCACUGCUGGGAGUUUUCCUUCUAUUUCAGUUUAUUUUUUACCCUUCUCUGGUCGUUUCGCAGCCAUAUUUUGUAGCAUCCACCCCUCUCCACCCCCUCCUCCGUCCCAGAAACCCCAUCCGAGCACAUCCUGGUGCCCAGCAGAGAGAACUCACAGGGAAAUGCUUCCAAAGUCAACAGACCUCUCCCUCCCCUUCAUUGCACCUCUGUUUUCUCAAGGCAGCGUUAAUGGCUUUCGUGGAUUUUCGUCUUUUCAAACAGAGCCAAAGGUUCUCUUUAAGCCUCGCGGCUGGGACUGCUGCUGCUGGUCAGAAGGUUUUUCCUUCAUCUCCCCUCUCCUCUUUGCUGCGACCCUCUCCUGGAAUCCCGGGAAUGUUAAAGAACUCUGCAAAGAGCAUCACCCCCUCCUCCUCCCUCCCUUUUAUACCCCCCCCCCAUGGCAGCAGAGCCAGUUCCUCCCAUUCAUUCUUCCAAGCCUCAGCUGGCCCUGAGGUUCCCAUUAAUUCUCCCCACUUUCCAACCUGGUGCAGGGAUUCCCAAAUCCUCAGCUUGGCCCAAUUCAUCCCAUUCAUUCUUCCAAUUCCCAGCUGGUCCUGAGAUUCCCAGUAACUCCCCAUUUCUCAACUGGUGCAGAGAUUCCCAGAGCCAAUUCCUCCCACUCA
rnacentral:lncRNA from 1 species